AGGGUCGCUGGGAAAACUAAGCCUUACUGUCCAUCUUGCCUUCAGGAUAAUGUGAAAUAUGGCCUAAUUUUUGAAGUUUUUUUCUUAGAAAUUUUACUGAAUCCAAAAUAAAACAAGAAGAUCAUGGUGGAUAUAGCUUCCAAAUUUAUUCUGCAAUAAAACAGGUUUGAAUCUAGAUAUACAAGCAAAUAGCAAAUAAUAUACAUUCUUUUUUGCAGAGUCCAGAAUUCUCUUUUCUCAACACUAGAUGGCAGUAGAGUUAAAGAAAAAAAUCCCAGCAGUUCUUUGUACAGGGAUUUGGUGAUUUUUCCCAUAAAGCUGCGAUGAGGAUGAACUCAGAGCAAAAUCUAUAAUAUUAUGUGUCCAUUAACAUGAUGAUGACAUGUGAAAAUGUUUAUGGAUGAAUUUUAAAUUAAAAUGUCAAGCUAUAAAAUUUUAUAUGGAGUAAGAUCUCAUCUUGGUUGGAAGAAAAACACAUUCUGGAGGAACUAAAAAUAAAAGGGGGAGUUUUAUACCUGGUAUACUAUUUGUAGCCUUCGUAGAGGGUUCUCCAUUCUAGUCACACCGAUUUCCUCUCUGCUGCAGACAUUGGACACUGGCCUAGUGUUCCAGAAGCUCUGAGUUCAGAGUCCUCAUGUACUAAUGCCAGCAACAGUCAGUUUCACAGUGCCUCUGGCCAGCUGCACUCUUAUGCAACUCAACAAUUUCUCACCUUUUCUCCUUUUAAAAACAAUAUAAGCAACAAAACCACCCAGCUCCCACUGCUGCAUAACCCAGAAGUAUUGGAAAGAUCACUUCAUACAAUUCUUGAGGCAAUCCUGCAGGAUCAAGCAAUUAGGUCCUUGGAGUGGUGGCCAGCUCAUCAAAGCCUCUUUGUACUGGUGCUUCCCCUGAUCCUGUUUUGUUCCCUUGUCCCUCUUUCCUGCUCCUAGCUAGGA
rnacentral:lncRNA from 1 species